GCUUCUGGGAGGUUGGUCGUCUCCUCCCUCCUGGCGGGCCCUCCCACAUCCUUCUGGUUAAGUCUUCAGGACAGCACCUUGUUCCUUUUCAGGGCUUCCUGUUGUGAGACCACUCGUGCAAGCAGCUAUCAUCCUGCCUGACCAAGAAUUGCCCGGUGACAUCAGCUAUUCCCCCGAAGUUGACGCAGCUACUAAAUAUACUGGUGUGUGCAUAAAGGCAGCUCAAGAAUGGUGUUUAGAAUUUGUUGCCUUUUUAUGAUUCUAACCACACAUUGGACAGAUGUCUUCAGGGACUUCUCUCCAACUCCCAGAUCACUUUCCUGCGCCAGAACUGAUGGUUUGGAGACUAACAUCUUGUGAAUAUCACAUUUGGCUCAUUUUCUCCUAAAUGCAGUACUUUGUGUUUGCUCACAUUGAGGCUCAUCUGUCACUCCCUCACCCAGAAACACAGGCUUGCAUUGACUGCCAGUUUUGCAUUGACUUAGAAUUACACUGUUUCGAAAGUGCAAAGAAUCAGUAUCUUUACCAUUUAUAAAAUGUAUCGGUUCUUUGUGAUGGGAACUGUUCUAAUUCAUAAAUAUUAAUGUAUUUAAUGAAAUUCAAUCCUGGCCCCACUUUGGGGGUGCUCACUUUAUAUUUCAUCAACCUCCUAUAUUAGGGGUUUGUUUUGUUUUGUUUUCUUAAGCUAGAGACUGUGGGUAGAAUUUAGGAAGCAUGUGAAUUUGGAUGGAAAAAUACAUUUAUAUUUUCACUAACCUCUAACUGAAACUUAGCAUUUUCUUCCAUUAUAAAUGUAGGCAAUGAAGUACAGAGGCAUUAGCAUUCCCUGUGACUCUUUCAUAGAUAUUAUCUUAUCACACGUUAUUGCAGAUUUUUUGAAAUAUUUGUGUUCAUACACUUCAAAAGCAUAGUAGCUAUUAGACCUGUCAUCACA